UACAGAGGUCUCAAGCGUUGUUCGGAUUCAUUGGGCGUAAAGGGUGCGUAGGCGGCGCGGUAAGUCGGAUGUGAAAUCUCGGAGCUUAACUUCGAAACUGCAUUCGAUACUGCCGUGCUUGAGGACUGGAGAGGAGACUGGAAUUUACGGUGUAGCGGUGAAAUGCGUAGAUAUCGAGAGGAACACCUGCGGCGAAGGCGGGUUGCUGGGCCGACACUGACGCUGAUGCGCGAAAGCCAGGGGAGCGAACGGG
rnacentral:rRNA from 1 species